GUGUCAGCCGCCGCGGUAAAACGUAGGUGGCAAGCGUUAUCCGGAUUUACUGGGCGUAAAGCGUGUGCAGGCGGGUGGACAAGUGGUGUAUGAAAUCGCCAGGCUAAACCUGGCGGGGUUAUGCCAGACUGUCCGUCUGGAGUGCGAGAGAGGGGCGUGGAAUUCCGGGUGUAGUGGUGAAAUGCGUAGAGAUCCGGAGGAACCCCAGAGGCGAAGGCGGCGCCCUGGCUCGCAACUGACGCUCAGACACGACAGCAUGGGGAGCGAACGGGAUUAGAAACCCCCGUAGUCC
rnacentral:rRNA from 1 species